GCGAGUAAUGUCGGGAACUCCAGGGAGACUGCCGGUGAUAAACCGGAGGAAGGUGGGGACGACGUCAAGUCAUCAUGGCCCUUACGAGUAGGGCUACACACGGGCUACAAUGGCGCAUACAGAGGGCGGCCAACUUGCGAAAGUGAGCGAAUCCCAAAAAGUGCGUCGUAGUCCGGAUUGGAGUCUGCAACUCGACUCCAUGAAGUCGGAAUCGCUAGUAAUCGUGGAUC
rnacentral:rRNA from 1 species